rnacentral:rRNA from 1 species
CCUACGGGAGGCUGCAGUGGGGAAUAUUGCACAAUGGGGGAAACUCUGACGCAGCAAUGCCGCGUGAGUGAUGACGGCCUUCGGGUUGUAUAGUUCUGUCUUCAGGGACGAUUAUGAUGGCACUUGCGGAGGAAGCCACGGCUAACUACGUGCCAGCAGCAGCGGCAAUACGUCGGUGGCGAGCGUUGUCCGGAUGUACUGGGCGUAAAGGGAGGGUAGGCGGACUUUUAAGUGAGAUGUGAAAUACUCGGGCUCAACUUGAGUGCUGCAUUUCAAACUGGAAGUCUAGAGUGCAGUAGAGGAGAGUGGAAUUCCUAGUGUAGCGGUGAAAUGCGUAGAGAUUAGGAAGAACACCAGAGGCGAAGGCGAUUCUCUGGACUGUAACUGACGCUGAGGCUCGAAAGCGUGGGGAGCAAACAGGAUUAGAUACCCGAGUAGUC